rnacentral:lncRNA from 1 species
AAUUCUGACAUGGAUUCUACUGCAGCAUUGUUGAACCUCUGAUACUGCUGGUUUCUAAGAGAAGAAUUUUAAGUUUAUGUUGAGGUAGGACAGGCAUGGAGGUCUAAAGACACAUGGUGAAAUACAAAGUGCUUCUGAAAUCUGCUGGUGAAUGAAGGGUGGUGUGAACCACAGCCUGCAAGCU